rnacentral:misc_RNA from 1 species
GCAUAGUGUUUCGUGAGCAUAUCCAAUCCCGUUCUGGCCGAGCAAUUAACAACUUCAGGAAGUUCUGAUUCUAUCCCUUUAUCUAUAGGAACACAACGAGCAUGGCAAACUGGUGUUCCACCUUUAGCAAUAAUACCACGCCAUAUAUAAUCAUUGCCAAGACGGCGUUGAUGAGAUCCUAUUGUGCCCCUUACACCAACUGGACUAAGACUACGCUUGCCUUGAACAUUUACGAAUGGACCUGAGAUACCUCCAUCAGUAGCUGGCCCAAGCCUAUAUGUUUUGUCCAAACCCAGCCCACGAUCAUCAAUCUUCCUUGAGGCAAAAGAAUCAUCGUCUAUGGGCACUGGUGGAUCAAUCCUUGAUCGUUUUGGUUCCCUCUGACUAGGGUCAAGCACAUCCCAUCCAGUAGACACUGAUCUCAUUAGUGGCC